AUCGCUUCUCGACCUUUUGGCUAAGAUCAAAGUGUAGUAUCUGUUCUUAUCAGCUUAAUAUCUGAUACGGUCCCUAUUUGGGGGCCAUCGAUAUUAAACUGAUUUUUCGAACAAGGCAAAGUGUUAGGGGCUAAAGGCGGCGAGCUGGCAGAAACAUUAGCGCACCGGGCGAAAUGCUUAGCGGUAUUUCGUCUGCCAUUAC